rnacentral:rRNA from 1 species
AUGUCACCUUUGCUAAAACCUCCAACCACGCCGAUUCAGACAGUUUCCGACCUCAUUGAUACCGAUAACUGGACGUGGAGGCAGGAUCUGAUUAGGACAACCUUCAUCGCCCCGGAUGCUGAUGCCAUUCUUAACAUCCCAAUCAGAAGGGGAGGAGGAGAGGAUUUCUAUGCUUGGGCUUUUGAACGAUCAGGCAACUACACUGUUAAAUCGGCGUACCGCGCUCUAAUGACUCAGAACGAGUGCUUUGCUCUAGAGGAAGGGACGGCUACCGGUGCUUCUCGAGAUGAUAAACAGAUGUGGACGGCAUUGUGGAAACUCAAAGUGAUCCCAAAAGUUCGAGUGUUCUGGUGGAGGGUACUGAGAGGGAUCCUACAGGACGAAAGUACUCUAAAGUAUCACCAUAUUGCAGUCUUAGAUACUUGUAAAGUUUGUCUGGCAAGGGAGGAGGAUCUCAUGCAUGCACUCAUUCAAUGUUCCCAUGCACGACGUUUCUGGAAUGAAGCUUGUGCCUUGUUUGAUUUGAGGCUUCCUCGGCUACACCCACGCUCGUGGGCCAGAGACAUCCUAUGUGGAGACCAGAUCAGAGAUGAAGAUCGAGCAAAGAUUAUUACCAUCAUGUGGACGAUCUGGCAUUCUCGCAAUCGGAUCAAGCAUGGGGAAGAGGGGAGAGACCCAACAGCGGCCAUCAGAUCGACGAAGGAGGCCCUAGCACUGCUAGAAUUACCGCGGAAAGAAACUACACUUCUACCAGGCUUCGGAUGGCGGCCACCCGAACCAGGUAUGAAGAUGGUGCACUCAAUGUGGCGGAUGGCCGAGGAGGCGCGGGUGGUGUUGCUCACUCCGCGUCAGCGCUACUGGGAGCUUGGUGCAAGCCGUUCGGUGACAUUUCAGAUCCAUUGA